rnacentral:rRNA from 1 species
GCGUGCGUAACGCGUAUACAAUCUGCCUUUAAGCGGGAAAUAGCCCAUGGAAACGUGGAUUAAUGUCCCAUAGUAUGGAGACUUCACCUGGAGAUUUCAUUAAACAUUUAUGGCUUAAAGAUGAGUAUGCGUCCUAUUAGUUAGUUGGUAAGGUAACGGCUUACCAAGACCGCGAUAGGUAGGGGUCCUGAGAGGGAGAUCCCCCACACUGGUACUGAGACACGGACCAGACUCCUACGGGAGGCAGCAGUGAGGAAUAUUGGACAAUGGAGGCAACUCUGAUCCAGCCAUGCCGCGUGCAGGAAGACGGCCCUAUGGGUUGUAAACUGCUUUUAUACGGGAAGAACCACAUCUACGUGUAGAUGCUUGACGGUACCGUA